GACGAACGCUGGCGGCGUGCUUAACACAUGCAAGUCGAACGAAGUGGCGAACGGGUGAGUAACGCGUAAUCAACCUGCCCUUCAGAGGGGGACAACAGUUGGAAACGACUGCUAAUACCGCAUACUGAAGGAGGGGAUUGCGUCUGAUUAGCUAGUUGGAGGGGUAACGGCCCACCAAGGCGAUGAUCAGUAGCCGGUCUGGGGGGAUGAACGGCCAAAAUGGGACUGGGACACGGCCCAGACUGCUUCGGGGGGCAGCAGUGGGGAAACUUCCGCAAUGGACGAAAGGCUGACGGAGCAACGGCGCGGGGGUGAUGACGGCCUUCGGGUUGGAAAGCUCUGUUAAUCGGGACGCGGUACCGGAAUAGAAAGCCACGGCUAACUACGUGCCAGCCGCCGCGGUAAUAC
rnacentral:rRNA from 1 species